rnacentral:rRNA from 1 species
AGAAGCGAAAUAAGGGCACACGGAGGAUGCCUAGGCGGUGGAAGCCGAAGAAGGACGUGCUAAGCUGCGAAAAGCCCGGAGGAGGUGCACAGGACCUGUGAUGCCGGGAUAUCCGAAUGGGAGAACCUGCAUACCUGGAGGGUAUGCGCGAGAGAGGUAAGCCGGCGAACUGAAACAUCUAAGUAGCCGGAGGAAAAGAAAGUAAAAACGAUUCCCUGAGUAGCGGCGAGCGAACGGGGAGGAGCCUAAACCGUAUAUGUGUUAAAGCUGGCGGCGUUGCAUAUACGGGGUAGAGGGAACAUACUGGACUGACGCCAUAAGGUCGAGUAUAUCAUGAUGUAAGCGGAACGCGGUUGGAAAGCCGGACCGUAGGAGGUGAGAGUCCUGUAGGGCGUAAAGUCAUGAUAUCUUGUAUGAGAUCCCGAGUAGCAUCGGACACGAGGAAUCCGGUGUGAAUCAGCGUGGACCAUAUCACGUAAGGCUAAAUACUUCCGCCGACCGAUAGAGGAGAGUACCGUGAGGGAAAGGUGAAAAGAACCCUGAGCAAGGGAGUGAAAGAGAAUUUGAAACCGUGUGCUUACAAGCGGUAGGAGCCCUUAGGGGUGACUGCGUGGAUUUUGGUUAAUCAUCCUGCGAGUUAUGAUGUGUGGCGAGGUUAAGUAGAAGCGGAGCCGAAGGGAAACCGAGUCUUAAGAGGGCGCAAGUCGCAUGUCAUAGACGCGAAACCUAGUGAUCUAGGCCUGUCCAGGCUGAAGCUGAGGUAAGACUCAGUGGAGGGCCGAACUCACCGCCGUUGAAAAGUUGGGAGAUGAGAUAGGUCUAGGGGUGAAAAGCCAAUCGAACUAGGAGAUAGCUCGUUCUCUCCGAAAUGCAUUUAGGUGCAGCCUCGGUUGAAGAUAUGCGGGGGUAGAGCACUGUAUGGCCUAGGGGGCGUAUAGCUUACCGAAGUCAAGCAAACUGCGAAUACCGUAUAUUGUUUACCGGGAGUGAGUCUACGGAUGACAAGGUCCGUGGACGAGAGGGGAACAGCCCAGACCGCCGGCUAAGGUCCCAAAUCAUGUCUAAGUGGGAAAGGAGGUGGAUAUUCACAGACAACCAGGAGGUUGGCUUAGAAGCAGCCAUACCUUGAAAGAGUGCGUAAUAGCUCACUGGUCGAGAGUAUCUGCGCCGAAGAUAUAACGGGGCUAAGACAUGAACCGAAGCUGCGGAAGCGUGUUAACACGUUUGGUAGGAGAGCGUUCUGUAGGCCGUAGAAGGUGUCCUGGAAGGGAUGCUGGAGGUAUCAGAAGUGAGAAUGCAGGAAUGAGUAGCGAGAAGGAGGGUGAGAAUCCCUCCGGCCGGAAGUCCAAGGUUUCCAGGGGAAGGUUUGUCCGCCCUGGGGGAGUCGGGACCUAAGCAUAAGCAGAGCUGCGAAGGCGAAUGGAAAACAGGUUAAUAUUCCUGUACCGCUGUGGACUGAUUGAAAGAUGGAGUGACGCAGGAAGGUAUGCGGGAAGGCUGACGGAAUAGCCUUUCUAAGGGUGAAGCGUGGACAUAUAGGCAAAUCCGUAUGUUUAAACGUGAGGCCUGAUGGGGAAGUACCAUAAGGUAUAAGCCGCAGAUCCUACACUGCCGGGAAAAACUUCUAUUUAGGGAAAUAGCGCCCGUACUGUAAACCGACACAGGUGGACAGAGUGAGAAACUUAAGGCCGACAGGACAACUCUGGCUAAGGAACUCUGCAAAAUGGCCCCGUAACUUCGGGAGAAGGGGUACCCGUGCUAACUGAAGGGAGAGACACCUGGAGGGGAAGCGGGUCGCAGUGAAGAGUCCCAAGCAACUGUUUACCAAAAACACAGGUCUAUGCUAAGCUGGAAGGCGACGUAUAUGGGCUGACACCUGCCCAGUGCCGGAAGGUUAAGAGGAGGAUUGAGAGAUUCGAAUUGAAGCCCCGGUGAACGGCGGCCGUAACUAUAACGGUCCUAAGGUAGCGAAAUUCCUUGUCGGG